UACGAAGGGGGCUAGCGUUACUCGGAUUGACUGGGCGUAAAGGGCGCGUAGGCGGUUUGUACAGUCAGACGUGAAAUUCCUGGGCUCAACCUGGGGGCUGCGUUUGAUACGUGCAGACUUGAGUUCGGAAGAGGGUCGUGGAAUUCCCAGUGUAGAGGUGAAAUUCGUAGAUAUCGGGAGGAACACCGGUGGCGAAGGCGGCGACCUGGUUCGAUACUGACACUGAGGUGCGAAAGCGUGGGGAGCAAACAGG
rnacentral:rRNA from 1 species